rnacentral:lncRNA from 1 species
GAAACAGCCCCACCUUGCGGCCGGUGUAGACCUUGACGUAGCCGCCCGCUUCGUCUCCUUUCUGCACCACGAUCUAGAAGAUUAAAGGAUCAGAAGUAGGAGAGGAAUCAAAGGAAAAGGAUCUCGUCACGCGGUGCACACGUUCUCCAGCCCGGACCCGAAUGAUGAAGUUUGGAGGGAAAAAUCCGACCUUCUCCCCGAUUUUCCCCUAGGGAAGAUAGUAGGGAGAGUCCAUCUCUCAAUGUCGGGUUCUGGACUCAACCCACACUCCACCCUAGCCCUAGCCAUUUCUCUCACCCGCCACCAUUCUUCAUUGGAGUCAUCAAUGACUGUGAUCUUCUCUCCUGGCCUGGGAGGGGAAGGGAGGGGCCUCACUCACAUAGCAGGUCCCCUGCUGUGCCCCGGGUCCAGCAUCAAUAGGCUCCAAGCCCUGAGUCCCCCCUUUUCCUUUCCCUUGGGGGAACCCAGCUCUUUCCUCUUCACUCCGCAGUACCAGCCCCCUGCCCCAAGGCCUCUCACGGGAAAUCCAGAUCGUCCUUCUCCAGGGCUUUGAACCGAUAGAGAGCCACAAAGUAAUGAGACUGCUGGAAGCCAGGCUGCUUGUGCUGGGGGUGCAAGGGAAUGAUGAGUCUUAGGGCUCCUCUACCCCACACUGAGGGGCAGGAUUCCAAGGCAGGGACAUUCACCACACACUCUACACUCCAACUCUCUUCUAGGUCCCUGAACUGAGAGAAGUGUUUUGGUCGUGGGUGGGUGUGCAAGUUGAUGGAGAGUGUGGGUCAGAAGUGAUGGGAAGCCUAGGAGUUAAAGAGUGAGCUUCUGCCAGGGCCAUGAGUAGUGGUGUCAGAGCUGGGUUGGGGAGAGAACUGGGUUCCUUGCAGGGAGGAAGGAUUCUUACCUUGUCAUCAGGUGUCUUCUUCUCAGCCUUCUUAUCCCCUUCAGGGUUUCCUGGGAUAGGAAACACCAACAAAUUGUCUGUCUCCUGGAGGGCAAUUCUUAUUCUCUUACCCUUUUGUGGAAGGGCCUCGUCUAUCCAAAGCUGGCCUGCCCUUUGCUCCUCCACCCUCUGUUCCACAGCUGAGCCUCUGAUCCUACUCCAUCUCUGGAUGGAGGUGGGUAACACUCACCAUCCUGGGGUUUGCCUUCCUCUGGUCUGGCCGACUCUGGCUCCUCCUCCAUCAUGGCUGCUACAGGCUGGAGGGGGCACCAGAGUUAGGGAGACGCUGUCUUGGGAACACAUGCCCUGGCUGUCUAUAAUCAGGUCAGAGAACUAUAGAAUAAUGGGAUCUCAGAGAUCUCAGAGUUGGAAGAGGCCUUGGAGGAAAUAUCUAGUUCAGC